AUUGAACGCUGGCGGCAGGCCUACCACAUGCAAGUCGAACGAUUGGCGGACGGGUGAGUAAUGUCUGGGAAACUGCCUGAUGGAGGGGGAUAACUACUGGAAACGGUAGCUAAUACCGCAUACCAUCAGAUGUGCCCAGAUGGUAGUAGCAUGUUGGUGGGGUAACGGCUCACCAAGGCGACGCUCCCUAGCUGGUCUGAGAGGAUGACCAGCAAACCUGUAACUGGGAAACGGUACAGACUCCUACGGGAGGCAGCAGUGGGGAAUAUUGCACAAUGGGCGCAAGCCUUAUGCAGCCAUGCCGCGUGUAUGAAGAAGGCCUUCGGGUUGUAAAGUAAUUUCAGCGGGGAGGCGUUACCCGCAGAAGAAGCACCGGCUAACUCCGUGCCAGCAGCCGCGGUAAUUC
rnacentral:rRNA from 1 species